GUGAAAUACUACCUGAAACCGUGCGCUUACAAGCGGUCGGAGCCCUUUAGUGGGGUGACGGCGUGCCUUUUGCAUAAUGAGCCUACGAGUUACUGUUGUUGGCAAGGUUAAGGAUUUAAGAUCCGGAGCCGAAGCGAAAGCGAGUCUUAACAGGGCGCUUAGUCAGCAGUAGUAGACGCGAAACUUUGUGAUCUACCCAUGAGCAGGGUGAAGUGUAGGUAACACUACAUGGAGG
rnacentral:rRNA from 1 species